rnacentral:rRNA from 1 species
CGGAGGGAUCAUUACCCAAUACAAUAUGAAGGCCGUACGCGGCUGGAUUUUAUUUUUACCCUUGUCUUAUGCGCCCUUGUUGUAUCCUGGGCGGGUUCGCCCGCCCCCAGGACCCCACCCCAAACCUAUUUUAUGCAGUUGCAAUCAGCGUCAGUACAACAAAUGUAAAUCAUAUACAACUAUCAACAACGGAUCUCUUGGUUCUGGCAUCGAUGAAGAACGCAGCGAAAUGCGAUACGUAGUGUGAAUUGCAGAAUUCAGUGAAUCAUCGAAUCUUUGAACGCCCAUUGCGCCCUAUGGUAUUCCAAAGGGCAUGCCUGUUCGAGCGUCAUAUGUACCCUCAAGCUUUGCUUGGUGUUGGGCGUAUUUUUGUCUAUGGUUGCCAAAGACUCGCCUUAAAACGAUUGGCAGCCGGCCUCCUGGUAUCGCAGCGCAGCCCAUAUUUGCGCUUGCAAUCAGCAACAGAGGGCGGCCCUCCAUCAAGACUCCAUAUUCCCGUAUGACCUCGGAUCAGGUAGGGAUACCCGCUGAACUUAAGCAUAUCAUAAAAGCGGAGGAUAUUUUUUU